rnacentral:tRNA from 1 species
GCCCCUGUAGCUCAGAUGGACAGAGCGGCUGCCUUCUAAGCAGCGGGUCGCAGGUUCGAGUCCUGCCGGGGGCGCCG